rnacentral:rRNA from 1 species
AUUCCAGCUCCAAUAGCGUAUAUUAAAGUUGUUGCAGUUAAAAAGCUCGUAGUUGAACUUCAGGCUUGGUUGGGCGGUCCGCCUCACGGCGUGUACUGUCUGACUGGGUCUUACCUCUUGGUGAGCCAGCGUGGCCUUUAUUGGUUGCGUUGGGGAACCAGGACUUUUACCUUGAGAAAAUUAGAGUGUUCAAAGCAGGCCUAUGUCCGAAUACAUUAGCAUGGAAUAAUAAAAUAGGACGUGCGAUCCUAUUUUGUUGGUUUCUAGAGUCGCCGUAAUGAUUAAUAGGGAUAGUUGGGGGCAUUGGUAUUGAGUCGCUAGAGGUGAAAUUCUUGGAUUGACUCAAGACCAACUACUGCGAAAGCAUUUGCCAAGGAUGUUUUCAUUA